UACGAAGGGGGCUAGCGUUGCUCGGAAUUACUGGGCGUAAAGGGCGCGUAGGCGGAUUGUUAAGUUGGAGGUGAAAGCCCAGGGCUCAACCUUGGAACUGCCUUCAAUACUGGCAAUCUUGAGUAUGAGAGAGGUGUGUGGAACUCCGAGUGUAGAGGUGAAAUUCGUAGAUAUUCGGAAGAACACCAGUGGCGAAGGCGACACACUGGCCCGGUACUGACGCUGAGGUGCGAAAGCGUGGGGAGCAAACAGG
rnacentral:rRNA from 1 species